ACCACCAGGCACUAAUUUAUCUCCAGACUAACAAAACGUAAAUUUUUCCAUUUGUACACAAAUCCAUUUGGUAAUUAUCAGCUUCAUCUUUUUGAUUUACAUAUUCUAGUCUGAAAUGGUUGCCCUUGAAUAACUUUAGCUGGGGCUUUGCUGUCACUCUGGGGCUCCUUUUACCUCUCAGUUUAGAUCCUGGAUCAAUGCUUUCUUCUUUUGCUGUAGCAGAUAUAAUUUGAGGCCUUCCUGUCUUCCGUACCCAAACUAGAUUAUCAGGAUGGCUAGACAGAUUUGGUGGCGAAAUUUGAUGUUACUUUGAAUCUUGACUAUGUAUGAAAUCAUUACUCAGAAAUAAUGGUUUUUUAUUUCUAUCACUAGUGCUCUUAAAUUUCAUGACUGUCUUGGGUUUAUUUUAUCCAUUGUGCUGAGUACGUAGUGGGUCUUAAAUGGUUUUUUUGUUUUUUUUGUUUUUUUGUACUGGGCAUUGAACUCGACCUUGUGCUUGUGAGGCAGGCGUGGUGCCAUUGAGCCAAAUCCCCGGCCCGGUAAAUUCCAUCCACCAUCUCAAUCUUAGUUCUCUGGAAUUCUUGUUUCUAGGCAUGAACCUUCAGCAUCUUUUUGUUUUAUUUUCCAGUGUAGUGUCUUGUCCAAUUUGUGUAAUUUAAUCUUUCAUUGUUUAAUAAAGAUUUAAAGUAUCAGUUAUCUCUUAAUUUCUAAAAUGCCCCUAAUCUGUUACAAAUAAUCCUAUGUGGAUAUACAUUAUCUCUAAAGGUUACUCAUAAUUUGUUUAAAAAUUUUACUCUCAGAUGUUGCUCUGGCUUAUAUAAAUUUUUUUACAUGAAUCAUAUUUGGUGAUUGUAAACUCUAGGUGUUGGGCUGGGAAAAGAGCUUGUGAAUCAUGAGAUUCUCUGCUGGGUGAUCUGGCUGAGAUUUUAUUGAGGAACACCUACUUAAUCUGUUGGUCAAGGUUAUUAGGGGUCUUCACCCUCCUGCCUGAAAGGCAUAAAACCCAGCUUGCCGGUGUUCUCAUCUCACUGGGGGAAGAAGGCUGAAGGAUCUUAGCUAGAUCCAAAGAACCCUCUCAACUGCUUCCACUACUCAGUUUCUCCAGGUUGGUGGAGUCAGUUGUCUGGCAGUACAGAGGAUCUGGACGUCUAACUUAGAUGGUCAGACUGAACCAGCCCUCUUUGGCCCUAUUUAUGUAUAUUUCUACUGGUAGUUAGGCUGUCAGUUCAGCCUCUGCUGGGGUUUUGUGGGGCCAUUCUGGAAUGUCUUCAUUGCUGAUACACUUUCAGUUUUAGCUUUUAAAAUUUUGUUGCUAUCUUCUCUUAUUGAUAGGUUUAUAUAUUUUUUAAGACAAGGUCUCCCCCAGUUUUGUUCUUUUUUGGUACCGGGUAUCAAAUGGGUCCUUCCGCUUGUGAGGAAGGCUGUGGAAUCACUGAGCUAAAUCCCUGGCCCCUCCCUCACUUUUUUAAAGAUCCUGGUUUUUAAUAGAAUUUCAGAAGGGUGAUGUUAGCAUGGCUAUUUUGUGUGUAUAUGGGUGGUUGUGAAAAAUUUGGGGAGACAGAAGAAGCACGUAAAGUAUUAACAGCUCAGUACCCUCCUAUUUUUGGCCAAGAAAUUUUACCAGCUCUUCACUGAUUUAUAAUAGCAUCAGCCUUUGUUUACUGAUGUUAUGUAGCAUUGAUUUCAGUUCUGAGUUUGCUAGUCUUGAUAGAACUACCAAUCCCACUUUCAAGUAAUGAACUUUGUGGGUCUGCUUACUACAUGUGUACUUUUGGGUUACUACAUGUCUGUCAUCUUUGUGGGUUUUUUUUUUUUGUAUUGAGGGUUGAACUCAGGACUUCGCAUUUGCCAGGCAGGUGCUGUGCCACUGAGCUACAUCCCCAGUCCUCUACUGCCAUCUUACCAUUUUAACUCUUUGCACACUUGAUAAUUUCUUCAUUGUACUUGGUUGUGCUUGAGUUACAGUCCCCUUUAUGUGUGGAACAUCUAUCCAGGUGCCAGUUCAUGAUGCUAGUCUUAAAAUAUUAACAUCCAAUUAAGCCUUUGCAUUCUAUAAUUAGAAAAUAGUUUAACCUUUAUGCUUUUAUUUUACUGCCUGGAGGUGGGAGCUGCCCCCACCCCCACUUUCUUGUCAGUAAUUUGUAGGGCUUUGAAAUACUAGGGAUUCUGGAAGCCAGCACAACCCAUUUUCACAGUAUUUGUGUUGGUCCUGAAAUUUAAGCAUUUUUUUUGGCUUGGGAUCAGUUUAACUUGCAUUGACAAAAUAGAUAAAUGUACUGGCACAUACUAGUGAGAUUUACUUGGGAGCAGUUUCCUAAUUUACUGGUGUGCUAACAUUUAAGGAUAACUCAAGUAUUUAUAAAAUAUGAUGUUUUAAAAACUACUUUUUACAGAUUUGAGAAGGGAACAUCUUUAUUCAAUCCUGGCCACAAGCUAUUAUGAUUUAGUGUAGUCUUGCCUGAAAAUUUCUAUAGGUAAAGUGAUUCUAGUAAGAGAAUCAGUUUUGCAAGUUGAGUCUGUAAACCCUGUGAUUAACUUUCUGUUGGUUAUAAUCUGUUAAGUUAGAAAGGGUUGACUAAUUUGACUGGCAUUUCAGGGCAUCUACAUCAGAAUCAAAUCAGUUGCUAGGGGUGCUGCCUGGUGUUCAGUAUUUCACAUACUCCAAGUGGAUUUAGCUACACUUACGUAUGAAGCAUCAUUGCUUUAAGAUGGUGAAAACAUGCUACUUUAUGAGGCUUUUUGGCUUUUACUUUUCCUUUCUGUGUAGAGGUGUAGGGUACAUGUUUUAUAAAAUUUACUAAGCAUUUAAGUCAUGGGUGCUAAGUUUAGCAUGAAAAAAAUGUUAGCAUUCUAAUGAUUGUACCAAGUGGAAGAACAGAGUGGGGGAGAGGAUUGCUAGAGGCUGGGAACAUGGUAAAUUGAUUUUUAUUGUUUUUAAGUUCUCUACAGAGAAUGUAUUACCCUUACUAUCUUAUCCCAGACCCCUUUUGAUUUGUUGCUGAUCUUAUUUAUUGCACUGUAAAUUAGUAAUUAACUCAUUAAUUUCAUAUUGUCUUGGGCUGGUUAUUUCUCUACUGUCUUUAAAACUUUAAAUUCUCAAAAAGGGGGUGUGGUUCUGGCAACCUCAAAUGACUUCAGGUAAAGAAAAUCAUGUGGGACCAGAGGACAAUGUAAUUUAGAAAAAGCGAUAAUUGCUAAAUGUUAGUGAGUGAAUUGCCCCUGAAAGCCAUGUAAAGGCAGGGAAUUUUGGGAUGGAUGAGUUCUUAAUAAGGGCAUGUAAAAGAUCUUGAAAAAUUACUACUUCUAGAAGGGGUAAGAAGAUGCUACAGAAGACUUGGAUCCUAAGAACCAGAUGUUCUUGUUGCAGCAGUCCAUAUAUGUUAUUUUAACUUGUGGAGGGAGGAAUUCUUUAAAGUCGUCAAAUAAAGUACAGGUAGGCACUAAUUCAUUAAACAUAAUAGAAGUUAUAGGAUUAUAUUUUGGGGAAAUUUGAUGGGAAGAGACUACGUUUCAAGGUUAAUUUGUAUGCAUUUUAUUUUGUAAUCAGAUUGUAUUCUGUUUGCACUGUAGAGUUUGAAGGCAAGGUUAUUUUCCUAGCUUUUAAAAUUUUCUCUUAGAAAAAAAAAAGUAUUGAAAGAAACCUAAGAGAUCUGUUAAUGCCAGUAUCUAAAUGUGACAUUUAACAUGUCAUGGAAACUGCUUUGAAUAAAUAUUUGCAAAAAAGGAAUUAUAUAAUUGCUUUUUUUGUUGUAUGGUUGGUUUUGGAUUACAUAGAGGUUAAUCACCUUUUUAUAAAACAUGGACUGAUGAAGUGGAACCCUUAUUUCAAAAGAUUGGAAGAUGGCUCUUAUAGUGUAGUUAAGAGAUUAGCUUAAGGCAGAAAAUAAAAUUUUGAAAUGCUCAGAAGUUUGUUGUAAAUUGCUCCUACCAUUAUUGAUAUAUAAAGCAUGCUACCACUAAUCAGUUUUAUGUAUUAAGACCUGUUAGCAUGUCCUUUUAAGUACCUGGUUGACUUGAUUUUAAAUUACAUGAUGUUUUCUGUACCAUUUAACAAGACAUUCUUAUGCAAAUUCCACUGGACCCAAGUGUUUCCAUUUCUAAAUGCCUACUUCCAGGGCUUCAUAUGUAGUUGAUAGUGGGCUUUCAUGGGGUUUUAAUUUUGACUAAAUUUACUUUUCUGAAAGAUAUGUUCAAAUUAU
ensembl:lncRNA